ensembl:lncRNA
GGUUUUAGAAACAAAGACGAUAAAGUAUCUUUUACAAAAAAAAAAAAACGUAAGUUGUUUAUUAUCUUCAUCUAUGAAAAAAACAAAUUUGAAUGUAGUUCCAUUAAAAGAUUAUUUACAAAGACAAGAGGAAGUUUUAAAAAAACCUUCCGAAAGUUUAUACAAUUUUGUUACUAACCAUAUUUUAAAAGUUGAUAGUUCUUUAGUGAACUAUCUAAAAAAUAUAUCCUAUUUAUCUAUUUUGAAUAUUUAUUUAACAUUAAAAUUAUGUAAUAAUAAUAUAAAAAAAUGUUUAAAUUUUAUGGUUUUUAUAUGGGGUAUAGAUAUAAUAAAAAAAGGCUGUUCUAUUAAUUAUUAUAACAUGACAUUAAAAACAAGUAUAUUACUUUCUGAUGAAAAAUCAAAAAACAUAUUACUUAACAAUGGUGAUGACGAUAUACAAGCAGAUAGUAGUCCCAAAAUAAGAAUUUCAACUAGUAAUGAUAAUCAAAAACAAAAUAUAAUUAAUGUCUUAAAUAAUAAUGAAAAUGAUGAUAUUACACCUAUCGAAAUUUAUAAUAAUAAAACAAAUAAUCAAAUAAACACAAAAUUGAGUUCACAAAAAACAUUAUUAUUGUCAGAACAUACACCAAGUAUACUACAAUCGAAUAAAGAAAAACAAAAUUUUAGUCGAAAAAAAAUAAACAAUAAUAUAGAUAUUUUUGAUUUGAAUGACUUGACAGGAUUAACAAAAAUUAAAAAUAAAGAACAUUUAAAUGAACGUCAUAUGGUAAUAACAAAAUAUGAAAAAAAUAAAAUGGAUAUAAGUCGUAGUAGUAGUAUUAGUAUUACUAGUAUCAGUAGUAGCAGUAGUAGUAGUAGUAGUAGCAGUUAUAAUUAUUAUCAACAAAAACGAAUAAGAAGUGAAAUUAUAACAUAUAUUUCACCAUACAAAAAUGAAACAAAAAGAACAAAAUAUAAAAUGUAUAAAGAGUAUUAUAAAAUAAGAUCAAGUAGUCUAGAUUUUAGAAAAAAAAUGAAAAAAAACAAAUUUCAAAGAAGUAAAGAAUGGAGGGUAAGCCCAAAUAAUGAAGAAUUAAAACAUAAGCAUAUUGAUAUCGGUGAAAUUUAUUUGGAUAGAGUCAAAUCAAAUGAUAAACAAUUAGGUAAAUCUAAAAGUGGAGAAUAUGUUACGAUUAGUCGUACGAGUAGUAGUACUGUUAACCGUAAUAACAAUCAAAUUUGUAAAAAGGUUAAAAGCAUAACUGGAAACGAAAUAGGAACUAAAACUGAUGUCACAAAUGAAAAUAAUGAAAACAAUUUUAAUAUUAAUAAAACAGGUGAUAUAUUAAAAAAGAUCGAAGCAAACGAUUUUGUUUAUGCUAAAUUGUUGAAUGGUAAAUUGAUUAAAUUAAAAAUUAAACAGUCAUCGGACCCAGGUACUUUAAAUAGUAAUACACCUUUACUAUUUGUUGAAUCAAAAGACGAUUAUGAAAUUAAUCCUGACUUAGUACUAUUAAAUGUAAACGAAACCAAAAGAAUAUCUGAGUCAAAUGAACGAAAUGAAAGAAAUGAAAAAAAUGAAA